AAAAACGUAGCCCUCAUUGUUCUCAGGGCUGCACGCCCUCGCCUGCCCUCUUGCAUUUCUCACGAGCAUCCUAUGCUAAUAAACUCACUCUCUACUUAUUGCCUUGCUUCACACUGAAUUCUUUCUACAUUGAGACAAGAGAACCUGAGCUUCAGUAAGUCCUGAGACCAGGUCAUCGACUUCCCAUGUGUACAAGUAACUGAUCAUGACUUAGUCAUGAAAGAAGCACAAUUACAGCAGUGAAAGUGAGGCACUUACAGUUGGCUGCCCCGAGGUGCCCCCACUUCUGAGUGAGAAGUGACUUAAGGGCAGGAUUGCCUGAUGGGUGACCUGGCAUUGAAGGGGACAAGAGUACAUCAUGUGAAAUGCUGAGCUGGAAGAAGCACAAGCAGGAAUCAAGAUUGCUGAGAGAAAUAUCAAUAACCUCAUUUAUGCAGAGGACACCACCCUUAUGGCAGAAAGUGAAGAACUAAAAAGCCUCUUGAUGAAAGUGAAAGAGGAGAGUGAAUAAGUUGGUGUUAAACUCAACAUUCAGAAAACUAAGAUUAUGGCAUCCAGUCCCAUCACUUCAUGGCAAAUAGAUGGGGGAACAAUGUAAACAGUGAAAGACUUUAUUUUUUUGGUCUCCAAAAUCACUGCAGAUGGUGACUGCAGCCAUGAAAUUAAAAGACACUUGCUCCUUGGAAGAAAAGCUAUGACCAACCUAGAUAGCAUAUUAAAAAGCUGAGACAUUACUUUGACAACAAAGGUCUGUCUAGUUAAAGGUAUGGCUUUUCCAGUAGUCAUGUAUGGAUGUGAGAGUUGGACUAUAUAAAAAGGCUGAGCACCAAAGAAUUGAUGCUUUUGAACUGUAGUGUUGGAGAAGACUCUUGAGAGUCCCUUGGACUGCAAGGAGAUCCAACCAGUCCAUCCUAAAAGAAAUCAGUCCCAAAUAUUCAUUGGAAGGACUGAUGCUGAAGCUGAAAUACCAGUACUUUGGCCAUCUGAUGCGAAAACUGACUCAUUGGAAAAGACCCUGAUGCUGGGAAAGAUUGAAGAUGGGAGGAAAAGGGGACGACAGAGGAUAAAAUGAUUGGAUGGCAUCACCGACAUGAUGGAAAUGAGUUUGAGUAGGCUUCUGGAGUUGGUGAUGGACAGGGAAGCCUGGCGUGCUACAGUCCAUGGGGUGGCAGAGUCAGACACAACUGAGUGACUGAACUGAACUGAACUGGGAUGGUUAGGGGCUUCACACAACUGAGUGACUGAACUCAACUGAACUGAUCUGGGAUGGUUAGUGGUAAAGAAUCUGCCUGCGAAGGCAAAAGACAUAAGAGAUGCUGGUUCCAUCCUUAGAUUGGGACGAUCCCCUGGAGGAGGGCAUGGCAACCCACUCUGGUAUUCUUGCCUGGAGGAUCCCAUGGACAGAGGAACCUGGUGGGCUACAGUCUAUAGGGUCACAAAGAGUCGGACACGACUGAGUGACUUAGCACAGGGGUGUUACUGGCCUCCAGUUGUUGGAGGCCAGGCAUGCUGGUAAACAGCAACACAGUGCACAGGACAGCUCCCCAGCGAAGAGUUAUCUGACCCCUAAUGUUAAUCACACUGAGGUUGAAGAAGCCUGCUGUCCGUCAUGAUGUGAUGGGAGAGGUCAGUCAUUCUCUGAAACACCAAGCCUGACGCUCCAUUUAGCCACUCUGGGCAGGCGUGCCCAGAAACACAUCAGUAUCCUCCUGAGAUUCUGGAUCAGGCAGAGUCAUAGUGACCUCACUGCUCACUGCUCAUCACUCUCACGUGGGGGCCUGGUCUAACGCUCUGUCCCCUGCCCUAGAGCCCAGUUCCUCUCCUCUUUCUUCCUCUGGCUUUACCUGUGACAGGACCUGCUCUGUCUGGUGCGUCCUCCAUUUCCACAGCUAAUGUCCCCACCUGGACCUGGAGCUCAGCCUCUCCAGCCCACGCCAAGACCUUCCUCCACUGCCCCCACCUCCUCCUGCAUGUCCACCCUCUUCAGAGUCCUGGCUCCUUCUCUGAGUCUGCCAAUAUACAUGAGAUUCUGCAUCCUUUAAAAAAAACUAAAGUUGUCUUAAUCCAACUCUGUCAAGUUUUUACCUUAUGUCCCUCCGUCCUUUUACCACCUAAUUUAUUUCAUUAAUCUGAAUACAUACUUUCAUUGCAAAAAAAUUACCAAAAAUUUGAAUAAAAUUUAUUAACCCAGACCAGCCAAGUCACAAAGAAAUCUCUAGUAAUUGGCUUGAAGUUUCUCUCUAGACCUCUGUCUGUGUAUUCCUUCUGCUAUAUAAUUAGAUUUACUUUGUGAAGUUUUUAUUCUCCCCUAAAUGGCAUUAUUUUGUGUGGGUUGGAUGGCUGUUGUUGUGUUUUUUUUUCUCUCUUUUCUGUAGAUAGACUGUUACCUCCUUGUUCCUUCCUCUGUCCUUUCUGGUGUUACAGGGCCUGAAAGCCUGCUCUCAGACUCCCUCGCUCCAAGUCUCCAGUUUAGCUUCCAUUAAUUUUCGGUACUUGCUUGAUAUUUGGAAGGUGAAGGAGAAGCAGAGCCCUACUUGAGGAACAGGGCUGGAGCAGUGGGCUUCUAGGGAUGCGAGAACAAUUUCUAGACAUGAUUUGGUUCCUCCUGGAAAUCACCUGGGCGCUCAGGCAGCUGGGCUUGCCCCCACCAUUGUCCUGUGAUUCCUGAACUUCCUGAUUCCCCAGGUGUUAGUGCUGCCUCUCCUGACUUUUGCUCCUAUAGUCCUGUCAGCAGUUGCGUUGAGCUCCAAGUCCCUGAAUUAAAUCACCUGAAUGAUGUGUUUGUGUGAGUCCCAAAUCCCUGAGUUAAAUCACCUGAGUGAUGGGUUUCCCUGAUGGAACCCUGAUGGUACAGUGUAGUAUUCCUUUUUCUUAUUCAUUUAGUAAUAUUAAUGUUAAUUAUUAAAAGAACAUAACUGGUGAAUAUUAUAUUGAUUACAUCAAUAAUGUAUUGAUAUGUAUAUGAUAUAAUUCAAGUAAUAAUGUGAUGUAAUGUGUAACCAUUCAGAAAGAAAUCCAUGAGGAUGGGGCUCCAGGAUUAGGUAUCUGAUUUGGUGGAUAAGAAAGUUGUGGAAGAUGGAAUCCUGAUAGUCCAUGGCUUGGAGUAACAAGCACAUUUUAAAAUUAUCACCUGGAGUUGUUUGGAGUGAAGAACAUACUGAAAGGGAGGUUUUGAGGGACCAAGCAGCUGCCGUGGAACAAUGAUGAUGGUAGAAGUAAAGACUAAAGGUGCUGAGAGUGGGCUGGUCGCUUGGCUUGCCUGGCAGAGGAGAAGAAAGGCAAAGAAAGACAUGUUUGGUGCUCCAAAUUGUGUACUAACAGCUGGCCAGAGGACCCAAGUGCUUCAGAGACAGGGCUCUGGUCUCUCAUUGCUGUGGGCAGGUGAAGAGCAGACCCAAUGUCUGACACUAGAGAUUCUCAAAUUACAACCUCCACCGAAUUCACAGCUUCUCUGGGUCCUCUUUAUGCUAAUGUCAGGGAACUGGCCUGGAAAGAAUGAGUACAGAGAAUCUGAACUGGACACCCCUUGAUGAGGAAGCAGCCCCUUCCUCUGUCUGAAGAGAAACUUCCUCUUGCUUGAAGACCCUGCAGGGUACUCAUCAGAGUUUUCUUACAAGGAGAUACCACAUUAUCCUCAAAGCCCACCCUUCCACCUCUUGUAACAUCCAGACCGAUAAGUGGAAUUAGACCCCCGCAAACCUUAGAGGAGGAGAAGGCAAUGGCACCCCACUCCAGUACUCUUGCCUGGAAAAUCCCAUGGACGGAGGAGCCUGGGAGCCUGCAGUCCAUGGGGUCGCGAAGAGUCGGACAUGACUGAAUGACUUCACUUUCACUUUUCACUUUCAUGCAUUGGAGAAGGAAAUGGCAACCCACUCCAGUGUUCUUGCCUGGAGAAUCCCAGGGACGAGGGAGCUUGGUGGGCUGUCGUCUAUGGGGUCACACAGAGUCGGACACGACGGAAGUGACUUAGCAGCAGCAGCAGCAGCAGCAAACCUUACAGGGCAAGUGCAAGCAGUAAGCAUGCAGAAGGCAGACGACACUGCGGAGGAAAUCAGACUUUGGUAAUAAAUAUCCACUGACGCUUUCCACCACUGCCUCGAUAGGUCACACGUUCUGUAUUUUCUUUGUGGAUCUCAUCACACUUGAUAGUAUUAAACUCAAAGUUUUGUCAGUCUGAUGGAAGAAAAAUGGUGUCUCUUUCUGCUUUGUCUGCAUGGUCAAUUAUAUUUUCACAUGGUUAUUACCCUUCUGUACUUCCUUUUCUGUGAAUUGCAUAAACACAUCCUUGCCCAUUCUCAUGUAAGUAAUAUUCAUUUUAUCUAGUAAUAUUGAUGUUGAUUAUUAAAAUAAUGGGCUUUCCUGUUAGCUUAUGUGGUAAAGAAUCUGCUUGCAAUGUGGGAGACCAUGGUUCAGUCCCUGGGUUGGGAAGAUCCUCUGGAGAAGGAAAUGGCAACCCACUCCUGUAUUCUUGGCUGGAGAAUCCCAUGGAUGGGUUAACCUGGAGGGCUACAGUCUGUGGGGUCUCAAAGUGACCAGCACUUUCACUUUCAUUAAAGUAAUAUAACUAACAUAUAUUAGCUAGUAUAUUGAUUUUUAUCUAUAACAUGUUGAUAUGCAUAUGAUAUAAUCCAAGUAAUACAAUGAUACAUUGUAGAACUAAUGUAUAUGGCAUUAAUAACAAUGUAUGGAGUAUUUAAUGAUGAUUACAUAUAAUAAUAUGAUAAUAUUAACUGUAAUAAUCUUUACAAAAAUAUCAGUUGAUAUUAAUACAAUUAUUUUAUUUACUAUAAUAAUAUAUAUUAAUGUGUUGUUUUAAUUAAAUUCUAU
ensembl:lncRNA